rnacentral:rRNA from 1 species
GACGAACCGAGCGAACGUUGUUCGGAAUAACUGGGCUUAAAGGGCGCGUAGGCGGGCCGCCAAGUUCGAGGUGAAAUCCUCCGGCUCAACCGGAGAACUGCCUCGAAUACUGGAGGUCUCGAGGCGGGUAGGGGCAUGCGGAACUGUGGGUGGAGCGGUGAAAUGCGUUGAUAUCCACAGGAACGUCCGGUGGCGAAGGCGGCAUGCUGGACCCGAUCUGACGCUGAGGCGCGAAAGCCAGGGGAGCAAACGGG